rnacentral:rRNA from 1 species
AUACGUAGGGGGCGAGCGUUGUCCGGAAUGAUUGGGCGUAAAGGGCGCGUAGGCGGCCCGGUAAGUCUGGAGUGAAAGUCCUGUUUUUAAGAUGGGAAUUGCUUUGGAUACUGUCGGGCUUGAGUGCAGGAGAGGUAAGUGGAACCCCCAGUGUAGCGGUGAAAUGCGUAGAGAUUGGGAGGAACACCAGUGGCGAAGGCGACUUACUGGACUGUAACUGACGCUGAGGCGCGAAAGUGUGGGGAGCAAACAGGAUUAGAUACCCUGGUAGUCCACACUGUAAACGAUGAAUGCUAGGUGUAGGGGGUAUCGACCCCUUCUGUGCCGCAGUCAACACAAUAAGCAUUCCGCCUGGGGAGUACGGCCGCAAGGUUGAAACUCAAAGGAAUUGACGGGG